UCGCGGCAUUUGUGAGAAAAUAAUCAUGCUCCGUAAUUUUUUAAUUUUUGACCAAAAGAAACAUUAAAAAAUGGUGAAACAUUGUAUUGUGCGUGGAUGUAAAAGAGAUUUAGCAUCUGAUCGCUAAAAUAGAAUGAAUUACUGAAAAACAAUUUGCGUCAAUCAUCUUUAUUCAAAGUACCAAACUACCAAAGAAUAACGUAUUGAGGGAAAAUGGGUAAAAGCUUUAUCACAACAAUUGACUCCAAAUCAGUUUGUGUGUGAGAAGCACUUUCGCGAAGAAGAUAUUAAGAAAGCUGAUCGAUUGAUUAUUAAUGGAGCUGAAAUUAUCAUCCCUCGCGAAAGGUGGACUCUUUUGAAUGACAAUGUCAUUCCAAUAAACCCUCAGGAUUUGGAAAAGGACAUUUCUGAAGAGCAAGUUCCAAUAGUGCAAAAUGACAUUAAUAACUGACCAAUCAAAAACCUGGAUUAUACACAACCCUCGUUAAAUAUUGUUUGAGGUAACAAUUUAAAAGAAGAUUCUCAAUCAGCAGGACCCCAUCAUAUGGAAUCACCAGAGAUUGUAACAGCUAAUAAUGUCAUUAUCUCGAACAUGUCUCCACCAUCAUGUGUUACACUAGAAGAGAUCCAUGCUCAUUUUCACUCAAUACUGAUCCAAGGAUGGUGUUAUUUUGCUUGUGAUGAAGAGUUAAUAUUAUAUAAGAUAUGAAUUUUACUAUUUCCAAUAAUCUUUCAGUGAAGGUAAAUAAUUUUCUCAUGCUUUUUUAAAUAAUUUUAUCUAUUCAUAAUGCAUACAGAGCAUUUUAUAAAAUUUAUUAAGUUUUGCUCACAUAAUCAUUUCUGAUACAACAGGUUUCUUUCUCUCAACAACCAGAAAUUGUUAUUGAUACUACAUCAUCUAUAGAAGAUAUAAAAAUGUAUAUGGAAACUCUGCAAGCCACUAUUUUAUGUAAAGGAACUGACAUACAC